AUGGCCUUUGAGAGGAUACCUCUUUCUUAGCCAUUCUAUAUCCAAAAUAUGAAAAGAAGGAUAUUAUAUUUUUUUGUUACCUUUUUUUAUACAGUGGCGAUCUCUACCAUAUAUUUAGAAUUUAACCAAGUAUUUAUUAAACACAAUACAGGAUUAUGUACUUUAAAAUACUAUAUCCUACAAAACUUUUAUUACUUUAACUUCAUACCGAAAAUAUCUCAUCAAGACAAAGAAAUCUGUAACUUGACAGAAAAUAAUGGCAUGAACUCAGUAAAAAUAUAUGAACCUUAACUUCUGUUUUUUAGUCAUAGACCUCUCACUUUUUUUCCAAUGUUAAUUCAGAAGGUAAAAACAUCUCCAAGAUAAUAUUCUGUUAUGAACUUAANUUUUGGAACAAUUAAAAUAAAAAGACUGAGAUUUGUAAUUAGUUACAAAUAAACAAUUCAGUAUAUUAAAUAAAAAUAUAAAAAUUAUACCAAUACGUUGUAAAAAUAAUAUGAUAAAAAAUWKWUWUWAAWWUWYKUAAAAUWYUAUUUAAAUAAAAUUUUAAAAAUAAUUUAAAUUUAAUAAAUUUAUUAARMUUAUAUUUUUAUUUAAUAUUUAUAUAUUUUAUUUUUUUAAUAUAAUAAUAAUAAUAAUAUUAGUAUAUAAAUAAUUAUUGAUUAAAAAAAAUUAAAUUAAUUUUUUUUUAAGAACUCGACAAAUUUAAAAUUUUACAUGUUUAACAAAAACAUGUCUUUUUGUUAAUUAUUUAAAGUCUAAUCUGCUCUCUGAAUGAAUUUUAAAGGCCGCAAUUAAUUGUGCAAAGGUAGCAUAAUAAAUAGUUUUUUAAUUGAUAACUUGAAUGAAUGAUUGGAUAAGAAUUUUAUUUUUUUAAAAAAAUAAAUAAAAUUUAGUUUUUAAGUGAAAAAACUUAAAUGUAAUAAGUAGACGAAAAGACMAUAAGUAGACGAAAAGACCCUAUAGAUUUUUAUUUAAAAUAAAAAAAAUUUUUUUUUAUUUUAAAUUUUAUUGGGGUGAUAAAAAAAUUUAUUAAACUUUUUUUUAUUUAAUCAUUUAUUUAUGAUUUUAUAUUAAACAUUAAUUUAAAAAUUUAGAUUAAAAUACCUUAGGGAUAACAGCGUAAUUUUAAUUUUAAGACCAUAUUAAAAUUAAAAAUUGCGACCUCGAUGUUGGAUUAAAAUAAGAUUUAAGAGAAGAAAUUUAAAUUUUAGGUCUGUUCGACCAUAGUAUUUUACAUGAUCUGAGUUCAAACCGGCGUGAGCCAGGUUGGUUUCUAUCUUUUAUAAAAUAAAAAUAUUUAGUACGAAAGGAUUUAUAGUUUUAAAUAAUUUAUUUUAAAUGAAUUAAAUUAAUUAAAUA
rnacentral:rRNA from 1 species